rnacentral:rRNA from 1 species
UGGGGAAUAUUGGACAAUGGGCGAAAGCCUGAUCCAGCCAUGCCGCGUGUGUGAAGAAGGUCUUCGGAUUGUAAAGCACUUUAAGUUGGGAGGAAGGGCAUUAACCUAAUACGUUAGUGUUUUGACGUUACCGACAGAAUAAGCACCGGCUAACUCUGUGCCAGCAGCCGCGGUAAUACAGUGGGUGCAAGCGUUAAUCGGAAUUACUGGGCGUAAAGCGCGCGUAGGUGGUUUGUUAAGUUGGAUGUGAAAUCCCCGGGCUCAACCUGGGAACUGCAUUCAAAACUGACUGACUAGAGUAUGGUAGAGGGUGGUGGAAUUUCCUGUGUAGCGGUGAAAUGCGUAGAUAUAGGAAGGAACACCAGUGGCGAAGGCGACCACCUGGACUAAUACUGACACUGAGGUGCGAAAGCGUGGGGAGCAAACA